GUUUGAAAGAUGCUAUUACUAACAACACAAAGGUGACAAUACGAAAAUACAAAAUGAAAAUGGAAAGAAAAAGACGUAAGGAAUAAUUGAAAGGUACAGUUCCCUCGCCAGUGUUGCCAGGCGUGUGAACAGACCCUUGGAAGUUUGGGUUUAUUCUCUCAUUUGUUUGUUCAGUCAUGAUGGCAGGUGAACUGAGAGGAAGGGCGGUUCUUAAUUAUGAUGAGGGCCUUGAUACGCUCAC